rnacentral:rRNA from 1 species
GAUGAACGCUGGCGGCGUGCCUAAUACAUGCAAGUCGAGCGAACAGACGAGGAGCUUGCUCCUCUGACGUUAGCGGCGGACGGGUGAGUAACACGUGGAUAACCUACCUAUAAGACUGGGAUAACUUCGGGAAACCGGAGCUAAUACCGGAUAAUAUAUUGAACCGCAUGGUUCAAUAGUGAAAGACGGUUUUGCUGUCACUUAUAGAUGGAUCCGCGCCGCAUUGGCUAGGUGGUAAGGUAACGGCUUACCAAGGCAACGAUGCAUAGCCGACCUGAGAGGGUCGUCGGCCACCCGGUAAGAGAGGCACGGCCCACACUCCUACGGGGGGACACGGUACGGAAUCUUCCGCGAUGGGCCAAUGGCUGACCGUGCAACGCCGCGUGAGUGAUGAAGGUCUUCUGAUCCUAAAACGCUGUUAUUAGGGGAGAACAAAAGUGCAAGCAACUAUGCACGUCUUGACGGUACCUAAUCAGAAAGCCACGGCUAACUCCGUG